rnacentral:rRNA from 1 species
UACGUAGGGGGCAAGCGUUGUCCGGAAUCAUUGGGCGUAAAGAGCGUGUAGGCGGCCAGGUAGGUCUGCUGUGAAAACUCGAGGCUUAACCUCGAGCUGUCGGCGGAAACCAUCUGGCUAGAGUCCGGAAGAGGAGAAUGGAAUUCCCGGUGUAGCGGUGAAAUGCGCAGAUAUCGGGAAGAACACCCGUGGCGAAGGCGGUCUCUGGGACGGUACUGACGCUGAGACGCGAAAGCGUGGGGAGCGAACAGG